ensembl:lncRNA
CACACACUUACACAUAACAUAGUCACACACACAUAGUCACACACAGUUACACACACACAGUCACAAACACACUCAUUCACACACAUAUACACUCAUUCACAUACACACACUCAUACAGUCACACAGUCUCACACCUACAGUCACACACACACACUCACACACAUACUCACAUGCACACAGUCACACACAUUCACACACUCACACACUCACUGUCACAGAAGUAUAAAGGUGUUGGUAAAGUUCUACAAUGAACACAAUUUUCCAGUUUUUGUUUCUUGCUUUCCACUGCUUUGCCUAGCCUGCUGUAACUAAAUUUGGGGUGUGGUCCCAUGAGGUCAACAUGAAGGACUUCAAUGAUAAAAGUGGAGGAGAUUACAUGUGAGUCGCACAACAAGAAUGAAGAGCCUCCUGCCUAAACAUGUGAGUCGCAGGAAGUCAUUCCCUUCUACCCACAGUGCUUCACGAGCUGAGUUCCUCGUCUCCACCUUAGAGCAAAGGCUGAGGGACCAAGACCAGAUUGUGCACAUAUAAAGAAGAACAAAGCCAACAUGGGAAGUACUUCUUCCAACAGAGCCUGUGCGUCAGAGUAGAGACUGGAAUUCUUGGCAUUCUUGCCCACGUGAUGAUAGCUCCUGUCUCAUGAAACCAACUCACAAAGUCCCACUUCACCUCCAGCUAGGUCUGAAGCAAGCUACCUUUUCUGGUAUCGGAGAGACAUAUGUGGAAACAACCACCUGCCUGUUGCUGCAAAUCUUUGAUUUUCUUAUCAAUAGUCCCCAGCUGUCUCCCCAAAUCUGAAUGUGUUGACAACCGAGCCAUGAGAGUGCAGCCAUGUUGGGUUACUGCAUUGUAAGCAAGCUUUCUCAGCAGCUAUGACAGUCAUUCUAAUGUCUUGACCUAAAGUGUUCUACACAAAUCUACCCAGAGCCCUUUAUUCAGCUUUUCUGGUGGAUCUGAAGGCUUCCGUGUUCUACCACGUGAAUGAUGCGGUGACAAUGUCUCAGAAAGACAUCGAGCUAACGCUUUACAUAACAGCUCCAGUUUCAACUGUCAGCACAUGAUAUGUGAAAUGAAAAUCCCUAUGUAGUCAUUAAUACAUAAUGUCCCAGUCACUGCCUCAAAAAUCAUUUUUUUAUUGCCUCACCAAGGGAAAAAAAAAACCAAAACAACCAAUCCCAUGACUCCCCCAGGCCCUGUGCUGUGAAUCUAUCAUCGCCUCUUGGCCAUCUCUUGGGCUCAUCUCCCUGACAUGACAGAGUGUAAUAGCUUCAAAGAAAAGCAACGGUGUUGGUUUUUCAAACACCAUUUCCUGAGUUUGAACAAAUGUGUUUCAUCACAGCUCUGUCUGGCAGUGGGAUGCUUGGUGGCUGAUGGAUGGUCCCAGCCAUGGAGACCUGGGUAACGAUCCUGGAAACUACCUCCCUAUAUACCACAGACAUCUGUGUCAGAGGUGGCACAGCACUGGGGCUCACAGAAUGGGAGGAAUGCAUGUUCCAUGUGCUUUCAUGAGUGGUUCGGGUCCUACCCUCCUCCAAAUCCUAGCUCCAUUAAGCCCAAAGCUGCUGCUAUUGUAUGACCCCCCUGGAGGUCUCAAAUGUGUUGUCACAUAUUUAAAUAAGGCUUUCUCCAUCAUAGAAGUUAUUGGGGGUAAAAGCACCAUCUCUAGUCCCACAUCUACAGCUCACCAGCAACGAGGCCCUGAGGAAGAACUGUGAGAGCCGAAGUUUUUGGUUUGAAGAGUAUGGCGAAGUUCCUCAAGUGGAUCAAAUAAUACAGGAAAAGUUUUUCUGAGAUAAUAAAUAUCAUUCAAAUGUACACAACACCAUAGUUUAUUUAAAGCACAUUAUCUUUCGUGGCAGCUUUUUCAUUUUCAUUUAUUUGCCUGCCGUUUUCCUGGUAUGACCCCAGACACUUAUUGGUGUUGCCCUCCCAAACCCUCCCAAACAAGAUGUUCUUAUUUCAAAUUGAGUGAGACUUACCCUGUUCCCUUUACCCUCACUCCCUUCCAAACUUACAGCAUUUGAAAAGAGGCACUGUGGUAUCCUGUUUGGGUGAAAUAUUUGUCCAGAAAGUAUAAGUUGCUACUUUACAUUAUAUUAAAAAUGUUAUGAUAUUAGAUGUAAGUGGAAAUUUUAUGGAACCUUUACUGAGCAAAGUCUCAGUUACUUCCUCUUAUGCUCCUUCAAGAGCUACUUAUGGGGACUGGAGAGAUGGCUCAGAGGUUAAGAGCACUGACUGUUCUUCCAGAGGUCCUGAGUUCAAUUCCUAGCAACCACAUGGAGGCUCACAACCAUCCCUUAUGAGAUCUGGUGCCCUCUUCUGGUAUGCAGAUAUAACUGGAAGCAGAAUGUUGUAUACAUAAUAAAUAAAUAAUUUAAAAAAAAAUGAGCUACUUAUGUCAGUGGAUCUCCAGCAGGGGCAGGUCUGUCCCUCUGGGAUGUUAGCAAAGUUUGUAGAUACUGCUAGAGUCUUGGAAGGAGAAGUUGCUAUUGGCAUAUAUUGGGGAGAGGUCAAAGAUGCUAUUAAACAUCUUACAAGGCACAGAACAGCCAAGAAUAUUUAGGCCAGAAGUCAAGGUGCCAAGGCCGAGAAAUACUGACUGCACAACUUCCACAUAGUAUCCAAGAAGUCUGUGGCAUUGCCGUACAUGUCUGCAUGGGAAGAUGGUGCCACCCCUUUCCAAUUCACUUAAACUUCAUACCUGGGUAUUCAAUACCUUGUGGAAGGUUAAUGGACUUUAGUAAUGGCUCCAUAUUCUAGAGGCUCAGGUCCAGUAGGCGAGAGACAUAAGUGUGGACUAACCUCGUGUUGCAGUAUAAAUCAAUGAGGUCAAGAGGGAAAAGUGCUCUCAAGACAAGAGGCCUGGGAAAGAUGAGCUCCAGUGGUCAGGAAGACAGGCAGGAGCUCAGUCUGAAGAAGGAAGUAGUGUGGUGACACAUGAAACUUCGGACAAUGUGCCACGGUGUGCAGAAAACUGGGGAAAGACAGCAGUGAAGCAGAGACACUGUCCAGUAGGGGAGAGCCUUGGGCUGUCCUGGGUGCUCAGCCACGGCUGGGUGAUGCAUUCGGAUGGAGGCUGAGGCUAGCCUUCUUCCUUUUACUGCAUCUACUUUUUAUAAAUGAUGGGUCACAUAUUUCUAUUUAAAUGUAUUUGCUCUGUCUGAAAACACUAACAUUCAAUGGCAAAUCUUACCAAUUUUAUUCUGUACUUAAUAGAAAAGAGAGUUUCUGUCUAAAAUUUAAUUAGAAAAGUCUUUCCAAUACCAGAGCUCUGGUCCUGGUCCUGGUUCAGUCAUUAGUAAUUUUGUUGUUUCAUUUUUUUAAUUUUUUAAAGGUUUCUUUAUUUUAGCCAGGCAGUGGUGGUGCACACCUUUAAUCCCAGCACUUGGGAGGCAGAGGCAGGAUGUUGACAGAAGAAAACACAGGUGGGGUCCAGUUCUGCCCAGAGCCACAACCUUCCUUGAACCUUGUCCCUUUACAGAACUUACCACCCUAGUCUACAGAGCGAGUUCCAGGACAGCCUCCAAA